rnacentral:rRNA from 1 species
GCCUGGUGCUUGCACCGGGUGGAUGAGUGGCGAACGGGUGAGUAACACGUGAGUAACCUGCCCCUGACUUCGGGAUAAGCCCGGGAAACUGGGUCUAAUACCGGAUACGACCGUCGGACGCAUGUCUGGUGGUGGAAAGUUUUUUCGGUUGGGGAUGGGCUCGCGGCCUAUCAGUUUGUUGGUGAGGUAAUGGCUCACCAAGACGACGACGGGUAGCCGGCCUGAGAGGGCGACCGGCCACACUGGGACUGAGACACGGCCCAGACUCCUACGGGAGGCAGCAGUGGGGAAUAUUGCACAAUGGGGGAAACCCUGAUGCAGCGACGCAGCGUGCGGGAUGACGGCCUUCGGGUUGUAAACCGCUUUCAGCAGGGAAGAAGCGCAAGUGACGGUACCUGCAGAAGAAGUACCGGCUAACUACGUGCCAGCAGCCGCGGUAAUACGUAGGGUACGAGCGUUGUCCGGAAUUAUUGGGCGUAAAGAGCUCGUAGGUGGUUGGUCACGUCUGCUGUGGAAACGCAACGCUUAACGUUGCGCGUGCAGUGGGUACGGGCUGACUAGAGUGCAGUAGGGGAGUCUGGAAUUCCUGGUGUAGCGGUGAAAUGCGCAGAUAUCAGGAGGAACACCGGUGGCGAAGGCGGGACUCUGGGCUGUAACUGACACUGAGGAGCGAAAGCAUGGGGAGCGAACAGGAUUAGAUACCCUGGUAGUCCAUGCCGUAAACGUUGGGCACUAGGUGUGGGGGGGCAUUCCACGUUCUCCGCGCCGUAGCUAACGCAUUAAGUGCCCCGCCUGGGGAGUACGGUCGCAAGGCUAAAACUCAAAGGAAUUGACGGGGGCCCGCACAAGCGGCGGAGCAUGCGGAUUAAUUCGAUGCAACGCGAAGAACCUUACCAAGGCUUGACAUACACCAGACCGUCCUGGAAACAGGUCCUCUUCUUUGAAGCUGGUGUACAGGUGGUGCAUGGUUGUCGUCAGCUCGUGUCGUGAGAUGUUGGGUUAAGUCCCGCAACGAGCGCAACCCUCGUUCUAUGUUGCCAGCACGUGAUGGUGGGAACUCAUAGGAGACUGCCGGGGUCAACUCGGAGGAAAGUUGGGGAUGACGUCAAAUCAUCAUGCCCUUUAUGUCUUGGGCUUCACGCAUGCUACAAUGGCUGGUACAAAGAGAGGCGAACCCGUGAGGGCAAGCGAAUCCCUUAAAGCCAG